UUGUAUAUGAUGAAUAAAAAAAAAUUAUUUAACUUUCGUUCUUCUGCAUCUUAUGAGGUGAAGAUAAAUUUUUAUAUCUGAUACAAA
rnacentral:snoRNA from 1 species